UGGCAGGAGCUGGUGGGAGGCGGGGAGAGGGAUCGCAGAAGGAUGGGGCUAGAUGGAGAGAUCGUCUGUAACAGCCAGAGAUCCUUUGUCUCGAGGAAAUUUGGACACUUUUGACAAGAGGCUUUUUUCUUUUUUUUUCAGAGUAUGUCUUCGAGAAGGUUUCUCUUCAAAAGACCAGGGCACGUCUGAGGCAUUCUCUUUCCCCCCCCACCCCCCCCCCCCGCACUAUAAGGCCAUAAAUUUCCCUCCCUAAUCUCCUCUCCUGCUCUGUGAGUUACAGCAGCUCCUGAGUCAUUUAUUAUUCAUCAUUAUCACAGUGACACAUCCAGCCAUCUAAUUCAUUGUCUCCCAGCGCUAACUUCAUCUCCUUCCUUGAAUACUCACCUGGCUGGAAUCUCUUCUGACAAACUCCUGGCACCACUCUGGCAUUAUCUUCCCCCAAACAGGCACGAUCCUUUUAGAACUUUAUUGGCGAUCUCUUAAAAGAGCCCUUCAGAAACAGUCGGGGCCUCAGUGUAUCACGGAUCACUUAGCACUUAGGGAGGACAAAUGAGGACUCAGCGUGACUGCCUGUUCUCGCUGUACUGCCAAGGAAAUUCAAGGCGCCACCUCCGAGGUCUCCCCGGGGCCAGGGAAGGCAUCCAACAUGUCCCCUGGCUCAUAAGUGACUCCACUGACUGCCUCAUCCGUGGACUGUCUGGGGAGGGUGGAGGAUGAAGCCAGCGUCCUGGAUUCUCACAGGAGUCUUGAGCGGUCAGCAGACCAAUUUCAUGAAGUCAAGGGCCGGAAGGAGAGGAGGCGUGGCCCGUGGUACACACGCUAUAUGGAGACCUCCCUGCCUGUGUGGGUUCCCUGUGCUGGAGGCGGCAGGAUGGGAGAUUCAGAGUCUUCCCCUUCUCAGGUCAGAUCUGAAAGAGGAACAGGUGUGAAUUUAGCAAAGGAGCCGCUAGCUCGCCCCUUCCCGCCCCAGGCCCGGCGACGUGCACAUCAACAAUCCUUGUUUGCAGACUGCAUGCUGCAGAAGCACUCCUGCAGGGAGCCUCCUCGACCCCAGAAUCGUUCAACGACUCAGGAGCGCCAGGCUUCCCCCAGGCAUCUCCUGCCUUCCUGAAGGGACACCCCGAAUCCCCCAAAAGUUCUGAAAAGUAAUUUCAGUCUCAUUUAUUCUGGAAACAAACAACGGCAGAGGGAGAAGGAAGAUGAUGAGCAGAAUUAAAGGACAAAGCAGAGGGGGACCCAAGGCUCUAAGGAGAGCCAGACAACCGUCGGCUGGCCACUUUGGUGGAAAGACCUCCUUCCACACCAUCUGCACUCUCCUGUCCGGCAGGCAGGCCUCCAGGAGAAUGACUGUGAUGCCCACAAAUUCACCUGAUUAGCCUGGAACCAGAGCAAGGAGAGUGAUACCACAUACUACAGGAUAUUCAGAAGGACCAUUUGUCCUGGGGACCAGACCUACAGAGCUGCGAGCCAAGGAAUUCUGAAUCAACAAGGCAUGUAAGGCCAGGACUUGGGCACAAGGCACAUGCAUUAAUCAUGGCUUCCAGUGAUUGGCCCCUGGUUCAAGAUCUGCGAUCCUGAGCUCAUCUCCCUCCGGUCCCCAGGGACACCCACACUGUCCCCCAGGGCAGCCCUUCUGCAAAGCCAGGAGAGAGAGGAAAACCUGCCCCACUCAGGUGGGCCGCGGCCCGGCUGGAUCCUGAUGCUUCUUGUUGAGAGCCGCCAGCCUGCCUCCCAGGCACAGGCAGACAGCAUGGAGAGGCCUCCUCACUCUGGACGGGUCAGAGAGGCAGACAGCAAAGCACUGUUUUGCCUUGGGGCGGGGUCAACACAGAGCUCCUGUCCAGGAAGCCGUGGUGUAGAGAAAGGAUGAUCUCCCGACCCCAUCCUGAGCAUUCUGAGUGGAAACCAGACCCCGUGGGUGCCCAGCCAGGAUCAGUUUGGCAGAAGUACAUGGAGUGUGAGAAACUAAUAAGAUCCAUUCAACUUGAAAGCUAAUUUUAUAUGACUGUGUCCAUUUUUCCCCCAAGAAAUUUCACACCUUGACACAAAUGAGGAGAUUCUAAGAAAGAGAAAUUUAAUGGGGCAAGUCAUAUAUUCUCAUCCAGAUGUGUGGGGAGUUCCACGAAUAAAUCUGCAAAUAUCAAGAUGAGAUGCUCCCCCCUGACCCCCCGGCCACACGAGUUCUUGCUAACGGAAGCAUGAAAGUGGAGACCAGCGGAAGUCAUUCUGGCCUCUGCUCCCAGUCACGGUCCCCAAGCCCAAAGCUCCCCAUGCCUGACCGCCCUACUGCAGUGACCUGAAACGGCUAAAGGAGCUGAGUGCCCAAGGCACUUUCUUCAAGGAACUUUCCUCUGUCAAGUCCCUGCCCGGCGCUUGGCAGGACCUCGGAGAGAUGAGAUGCUCUCCACCCCAUCAGCCCCGAUUCGAGAACACCAGGAAGGAGGCUCAGGUGCCACAGCUGCUGCCACUGUCCCUGCAGACCCCAACCACGGCCCUUCACUGGGCUGAGUCCGCCUGUGUCAGCUGCCCCCCAACUCCUUGCAGAUUCAAGAACCGAUGAAUACAGAUGAGCGACACCUGCCCGGAGCUGCCUGGUGUUCCACUCACGUCCUGAUUUUCUGGGUCACCAAUUUUUUUAAUUAAACUUUUAAUUUUGAAAUAGUUGUAGAUUCUCAUGCAGUUAAGAAAGAUCCCCAAGUCCCAAUUCUUCCUCAAUUCUGCCUCCCCUGCCCCUGUCCCCUGUGGUAAUAUCUUGCAAAAUAGUAGUACAAUAGUGAGUCACCAAUUUUUUAAAAUGUCACAUCCCGUGUCUAUUUCCUAAUGUGUGAUAAGAAGUAUAUUUUCACCCGGUGGAGGCUCUUGUCUCCCCGUUCCCACUCCCAAACCUACUUGACUUCACCACCCAAUUAUUUCCCACUUUGAUAAAGAGCACAGUGUACAAAGCCCCACAUUCAGGAUUUCUCUCCCUCUUCCUUGCAUUUUCUCACUUUUUUUGGCGGGGGGCCAAAACAGUCCUGAAUCCACCCACUUGUCACUCUCUGGACCACAAUGACCCUGGCAUUAGCCCCUGUCAACGCUCUUCAGCAGAACCAGCUAAAGAAUUUGUAGGGCCCAGUGAAAAAUGAACGUACAG